CCUGUGCGUCUCCUCUCCUCUGGCGUCCACACUCCAUGCAGCCGAUUCCAGAGACAGACACUUCUCCUUAACGCUAAAAGAGCUGGUCACAGAUUCCUAGCUCAGGCUUGGUGACCUUGCGGCCGUUCAUGAGCUUUGUGGUCUCCGGUCUCGUACGUGUGGGCUGCCUUGUAGUUCCUCGCUCUCUAUUCUUGCGUGAAGCGCUUUAUUGACUUACAGCUGGGUGCGAGGUUUGUUUUCCUCCUGCUGCUCCUGGUUCAGAGCGCGGCCUUGGUUUCCAACCGGGCCUCCUCUUUUCCCCUGAUUUGGUACUCCUCUCCGGAUUUUCGCGUUCCUCUCCCACUUCCUACUGGCUCCUUGUCUGCCGCUGCGGAGCACUGUGAGCAGGGUGACGUACAGACUGUUG